UCCUUGUUGGAAACCAUGAUUCGUACAAAACUUGUUUCAACAGAAAAUAGAUUGAUAUAUCUUUCAGCAGUAGCUUUCCUAAGGGUAUUGGAGUAUAAUUGAUAAUUUGAAGUAUUUGUUCAAUGUGCCUCUUGAAUUCUGUCAGAAAUCGAGCUUUGGUCGAUUUCGCGCAUUCUGUUUCAUUUGUUUGGAAAUAGAUU
rnacentral:lncRNA from 1 species